rnacentral:lncRNA from 1 species
UGGAGGCGGCGGGACCCAGGGGAAGGGCUCACGGCCGCGCACUUUGGUCCCUUCCUCUCUCUUGUCCCCAGCAGGGCGCACCUCCACUCCCAGGCUGAUGUCCCUGGCACCCAGAGGACGCAGGGACCCCGGGGCCAGGAUGCGCCAGCGCUUCUCCUGCAGCUCAGGGGAACAGCACCCCUAGCAGCACCCAGACCCCCGGCAGAGGUUGCCCCGGCCACGCGCAGCGACGCGCCUGGGAGCUAGAAAACCAGCCGGGAACUCGGAGAUUCGAGUCGCUGUGGCGCCGGGGUAGAUCCGCGCCGGCUCCCAUUGACCCCUUCCGAGUAGACGCGCCCUCGAUUGCCUCGGUGAAGCCCUUGGACCCUGGAUGGGGUAGAGCCUGCUUCCUUACUGGCUCCCAGUCCUGUACUCUUUACACCUGCCCUUGGAGAACGACGGGUUUUUAGGCCUGAGUCAAGCCUCCCUUGAUUAAUACGAGCCGUCGUUCAUCUUAUUUUAAGUCUGUGUUAUACACUGUUUUGUUGUGCCAUGAAGAACCACAAGAAGCUGCGAAAAGUUCUUCAUCUGCGUUGAGAGAAGCAAUGACAAACUCAUGGUCCAAACCAGAAGAGUCAGAGCAUCAAGCUGAAGGGUAGGAUGAAGCCAAACAAAACGGUUAUCACUUUAAUAAGAGUUCAGGUUAUUCGAUUCGCUUUGUUCGAGGUAGUAAAAUGGAGAUAUACUAUCAAGAAAGCCCAACCCGUCAGUUAUUAAUUUUGUGACCUUGUGCAAAUUUUUAGCCUCUCCAUGCCUCAGUUUUCUAAUCUACAAAAUGGGGAUAACGAUGGAAUUACAAAAUAGUGCCUCCACGCCUAUUGUGAGGAUUAGGUGAGUCAGCAAAUCUCAAGAGCUUCAGCCUGCCUGGCUCUUGGUAAGCACUGCAUAAGAGUCAGGAUUAUCAUAAAUUGGUCACACCAAAGAAGCAAACACAUUCCAUUGCUAGCACACGGAUUAAGUCUAAGUAAUGCCACAUAGCAACUAUUGUGACAAAGAUUUCUGUCAUUUUUUUAAAAAAAUUCAGACCUGCAUCUUUUCAUGAGAAAACUUGAUUUCUGAGCCUCUUAGGCGGGCUGUGCAGAUGAACUUAUUCAAAAUGAUACUAUGUUGUUUUUUGUCUUUUUAGAAGAGGUAACUUCUUUAAAAGUAUUCACGGAACAGGACUGCCUCUGAACCCUCUGCUGUGUUCACAAACCCACCUCAAAAGCAAAUAAAAGGACAAUUUACUGUCAGAGAGGACCAGUUAUCUUUGACAAACACCUCAGAGCUCAUUAAAAAUGCUUGAGGUAGAAAGUAUUUAUAUGAUCUCCUGAAUGGCAGUGAUUUUUUUUCAGCAUUUAGAUUUUCACAACUGAAAAUCAUAAAAUACAGUUUAAAUAUCUUAUUCUCCUUCUUAAAUGAUGAGCAUAAAAUUCAGAGGCAGAAUAGUAGUGAGGUGUGAUAUUUAUAGCUGAUUAUAGUGAAUGUUUUAACUAUAAAUUCCAUAAUCUCUUACCAAACCAGUCUCCUACCCCAGUGACUGACAUAGUUGGUACAAAUUAAAUGUUUACUGAAAGUAUGAAUAAAACAAAUGAAUACAUUAAAACCAGUAGGAAAUGUGCUGUGUUGUUUUCUGAAUUAUAUUUUCCUUCCUG